rnacentral:misc_RNA from 1 species
CUGUGGUGCAUCGAACUGUCAACGCACCAUCUACUUCAAUCAGUCCCCAAGUGAAGCUCUUUCCUUGUGGGUUCGUGCGGUAUCCUGUGUUGCUUACCAAUGAAAUGGAAUUUCAAUGUUCUCGCCGGUUUGUAUCCGCCUUGUGCCCUUCGGGGUGCGGGGUGGACAUGAGGCAAGCACUGUGAUCCCAACAUGCCUGGUGCAUCGGUGCUUUGGUUGUUGUGGCCCAUGGUGUCUCUGCUUGUUCUCUCGGAUACGGAAAGCUAUGUGUGGGCGUGAGGUCUCGGCCUUGAUACGUCCAAGCACUGUCCCUUGACUCGAAUGACUGCUGUGCUCGUUUUGAUCCUCCCGACCAAGGCCUCGUAGCGGGGCUUACUGGACGAGGGGGGAUCAUGCGGGUGUCGGCGUCAAAGAGGAAAGC